AGAGUUUGAUCCUGGCUCAGAAUGAACGCUGGCGGCGUGUUUAAGACAUGCAAGUCGAACGGAGUAACAUGAGUAGCAAUACAAGUGUUGCUCAGUGGCGCACGGGUGCGUAACACGUGAGUUACAUGCCCUGCAGAGAGGGAUAGCCCAGGGAAACUUGGAUUAAUACCUCAUGGUCUCGCAAGAGUAAAGAUGGCCGUAAGGCUGUCGCUGCAGGAUUGGCUCGCGGCCUAUCAGCUAGUUGGUGAGGUAACGGCUCACCAAGGCUACGACGGGUACCUGGUCUGAGAGGACGAUCAGGCACACUGGAGCUGAGACACGGUCCAGACACCUACGGGUGGCAGCAGUCGAGAAUCAUUCACAAUGGGGGCAACCCUGAUGGUGCAACGCCGCGUGGAGGAAGAAGGUCUUCGGAUUGUAAACUCCUGUCAUCUAGGAGCAAGGCAUGGUGGUGAAUAGCCAACAUGAUUGAUAGUACUAGAAGGGGAAGGGACGGCUAACUUCGUGCCAGCAGCCGCGGUAAUACGAAGGUCCCGAGCGUUAUUCGGAAUCACUGGGCGUAAAGGGAGCGUAGGCGGCGUGGAAAGUCAGAUGUGAAAUCCCAGAGCUCAACUCUGGAACUGCAUCCGAUACUACCAUGCUAGAGUAUUGGAGGGGUAACUGGAAUUCUCGGUGUAGCAGUGAAAUGCGUAGAUAUCGAGAGGAACACUCGUGGCGAAAGCGAGUUACUGGACAAUUACUGACGCUGAGGCUCGAAGGCUAGGGGAGCAAAAGGGAUUAGAUACCCCUGUAGUCCUAGC
rnacentral:rRNA from 1 species